GAGACACCCUUAUGGGGCAGGACUUGCUUCAGUGGGGCUUUGGCACUCACUGAGUCUGCCCCCCUGAGUGUGUCUCU
rnacentral:pre_miRNA from 1 species